rnacentral:rRNA from 1 species
GUAAACCUCGUACUGCCGCCUUGGAGAAGUGGCAAGUCUUCCAGUAUGGGGAGCAAACAGCUAUGGGUCAAGCCCGAUACCUUUAAGAGAAGUCUUAUUGUGAGGGCGAGUUGUAAAACACCAUAGGGCUGGCCGUCCCAUAUGAAAAGAUUUUAUUAGAAUUGAAUGAAACUUUGUUUAUAUAUUGAUAAUGACAGUAUAUAUAUCGUGUCUUGACUAAUUGCGUGCCAGCAGUCGCGGUAAUACGUAAGAGACUAGUGUUAUUCAUCUUAAUUAGGUUUAAAGGGUACCCAGACGGUCAGUAUAGCUUAUAAAAUGUUUUUACCUGACUACAUUUUUAUGUAAAAAGUCAGUACUUGCUCAGGAGAGAUGAAAUUUCUUGAUACCAAAGGGACUCUGUAAAGGCAUUUUAUAACCUCUAUGGAAAAACUG